UAGGGAAUCUUCCACAAUGGACGCAAGUCUGAUGGAGCAACGCCGCGUGAGUGAAGAAGGUUUUCGGACCGUAAAGCUCUGUUGUUGGUGAAGAAGGAUAGAGGUAGUAACUGGCCUUUAUUUGACGGUAAUCAACCAGAAAGUCACGGCUAACUACGUGCCAGCAGCCGCGGUAAUACGUAGGUGGCAAGCGUUGUCCGGAUUUAUUGGGCGUAAAGCGAGCGCAGGCGGAAGAAUAAGUCUGAUGUGAAAGCCCUCGGCUUAACCGAGGAAUUGCAUCGGAAACUGUUUUUCUUGAGUGCAGAAGAGGAGAGUAGAACUCCAUGUGUAGCGGUGGAAUGCGUAGAUAUAUGGAAGAAUACCAGUGGCGAAGGCGGCUCUCUGGUCUGCAACUGACGCUGAGGCUCGAAAGCAUGGGUAGCGAACAGGAUUAGAUACCCUGGUAGUCCAUGCCGUAAACGAUGAGUGCUAAGUGUUGGGAGGCUUCCGCCUCUCAGUGCUGCAGCUAACGCAUUAAGCACUCCGCCUGGGGGAGUACGACCGCAAGGUUGAAACUCAAAGUGAAUUGAC
rnacentral:rRNA from 1 species